rnacentral:misc_RNA from 1 species
GUGAAGAACGCAGCGAAAUGCGAUAAGUAGUGUGAAUUGCAGAAUUCAGUGAAUCAUCGAAUCUUUGAACGCACAUUGCGCCCCUUGGUAUUCCAUGGGGCAUGCCUGUUCGAGCGUCAUUUACACCCUCAAGCUCUGCUUGGUGUUGGGCGUCUGUCCCGCUGCUUUGCGCGGACUCGCCUCAAAGGUAUUGGCAGCGAUCAUGCCAGCUUCUCGCGCAGCACAUUGCGCUUCUUGAAGUUCUGGUGGAUCAGCGUCCAUUAAGCUUACCUUCAUGACUUGACCUCGGAUCAGGUAGGGAUACCCGCUGAACUUAAGCAUAUCAAUAAGCGGAGGA